UACGUAGGGGGCUAGCGUUGUCCGGAAUCAUUGGGCGUAAAGAGCUCGUAGGCGGUUCGGCAAGUCGGAUGUGAAAUCUCCACGCUUAACGUGGAGGGGCCAUUCGAAACUGCCGUGACUCGAGUCCGGUAGGGGAGUGCGGAAUUCCCGGUGUAGCGGUGAAAUGCGCAGAUAUCGGGAGGAACACCAGUGGCGAAGGCGGCACUCUGGGCCGGAACUGACGCUGAGGAGCGAAAGCGUGGGGAGCGAACAGG
rnacentral:rRNA from 1 species